GGCGACGGCGGCGGUUUGCGGAGACGCAUGGAAGCGAAACCCUGUUCUUGAUGCUCGUGCUGCUGGCGCUGGCACUGCCCGGCAUCUGCGGAGACUCCGCGGCCGGGAAGAACCCAGAGGAGGGGGCCUGAGACUUUAGGGAGUGGCUGGAAAGCCAGAGGUGGGUCAUGAAACCCAAACCCAGGGAAACUGAACACCUCCUGUGUCAACAUCAUCGAAUGGUGACUGUGAAUGUAAAAGAGAAGUCCCAGGACAAAAGCCAGGUGAAAGAAGAUGAGAGCAGCUGCAAACCAGCCCAGAUUUUUCUCAGUCACUGACUUCCUACUUCAUUAUACCACCUGUUCAACAUUUGCAGAGAAUCAUCUGUGCUUAUGGAUGUUAAUCCCUGAAUGAGAUAUAUUAUGUGCUAAAAUAUAAGGAAAACAAUCACCUCCCAAAUAAAGCAAAACUCCAUUCUUAGUGAAAAAGUUUAAAAAGUAAAUAAUAAGAAAAGAAGCAUUUGGACCAAAUUGUAUAUAUAAACUAAAGUUGAGUGAUCCAA